UUGACCUCGAAUCAGGUAGGGAUACCCGCUGAACUUAAGCAUAUCAAUAAGCGGAGGAAAAGAAACCAACAGGGAUUACCUCAGUAACGGCGAGUGAAGCGGUAACAGCUCAAAUUUGAAAUCUGGUCCGUUUACGGGCCCGAGUUGUAAUUUGUAGAAGAUGCUUUGGUGGCGAGUCCGGCCUAAGUUCCUUGGAACAGGACGUCAUAGAGGGUGAGAACCCCGUAUGCGGCCGGGUGCUCGAUGCUAUGUAAAGCUCUUUCGACGAGUCGAGUUGUUUGGGAAUGCAGCUCAAAAUGGGUGGUAAAUUUCAUCUAAAGCUAAAUAUUGGCCAGAGACCGAUAGCGAACAAGUAGAGUGAUCGAAAGAUGAAAAGCACUUUGGAAAGAGAGUUAAACAGUACGUGAAAUUGUUGAAAGGGAAGCGCUUGCAACCAGACUUGGGCACUGUGGAUCAUCCGAGGUUCUCCUCGGUGCACUCGGCAGUGCGCAGGCCAGCAUCAGUUUGGGUGGUUGGAUAAAGACUUGUGGAAUGUAGCUCCUUUCGGGGAGUGUUAUAGCCACAGGUGCCAUGCGACCAACCCGGACUGAGGACCGCGCUUCGGCUAGGAUGCUGGCGUAAUGGUUGUAAGCGACCCGUCUUGAAACACGGACCAAGGAGUCUAACAUCUAUGCGAGUGUUUGGGUGUUAAACCCAUACGCGGAAUGAAAGUGAACGUAGGUGAGAACCCAUAAGGGGGCAUCAUCGACCGAUCCGGAUGUCUUCGGAUGGAUUUGAGUAAGAGCAUAGCUGUUGGGACCCGAAAGAUGGUGAACUAUGCCUGAAUAGGGUGAAGCCAGAGGAAACUCUGGUGGAGGCUCGCAGCGGUUCUGACGUGCAAAUCGAUCGUCAAAUUUGGGUAUAGGGGCGAAAGACUAAUCGAACCAUCUAGUACUGGUUCCUGCCGAAGUUUCCCUCAGGAUAGC
rnacentral:rRNA from 1 species